GACGGAGGGUGCGAGCGUUGUUCGGAAUUACUGGGCGUAAAGCGCGCGUAGGCGGUUUGUUAAGUCAGCUGUGAAAGCCCCGGGCUCAACCUGGGAACUGCAGUUGAUACUGGCCGACUAGAGUACGAGAGAGGGAGGUAGAAUUCCAUGUGUAGCGGUGAAAUGCGUAGAUAUAUGGAGGAAUACCAGUGGCGAAGGCGGCCUCCUGGCUCGAUACUGACGCUGAGGUGCGAAAGCGUGGGGAUCAAACAGG
rnacentral:rRNA from 1 species